rnacentral:misc_RNA from 1 species
CCAGAGUUUUACAACUCCCAACCCUUCUGUGAACCUACCCAUCGUUGCUUCGGCGGACUCGCCCCAGCGUCCGGACGGCCCCGCGCCGGCCCGCGACCUGGACCCAGGCGGCCGCCGGAGACCACGCAACCCUGUAUCCAUCAGUCUCUCUGAAUCCGCCGCGAGGCAACACAAAUGAAUCA